rnacentral:rRNA from 1 species
UACGAAGGGGGCUAGCGUUGCUCGGAAUCACUGGGCGUAAAGGGUGCGUAGGCGGGUUAUUAAGUCAGAGGUGAAAUCCUGGAGCUCAACUCCAGAACUGCCUUUGAUACUGAUAGUCUUGAGUAUGGGAGAGGUGAGUGGAACUGCGAGUGUAGAGGUGAAAUUCGUAGAUAUUCGCAAGAACACCAGUGGCGAAGGCGGCUCACUGGCCCAUUACUGACGCUGAGGCACGAAAGCGUGGGGAGCGAACGGG